AACGAACGCUGGCGGCAUGCCUAACACAUGCAAGUCGAACGAGACCUACGGGUCUAGUGGCGCACGGGUGCGUAACGCGUGGGAACCUGCCCUUAGGUUCGGAAUAACUCCCCGAAAGGGGUGCUAAUACCGGAUAAUGUCUUCGGACCAAAGAUUUAUCGCCUUUGGAUGGGCCCGCGUUGGAUUAGCUAGUUGGUAGGGUAAAAGCCUACCAAGGCGACGAUCCAUAGCUGGUCUGAGAGGAUGAUCAGCCACACUGGGACUGAGACACGGCCCAGACUCCUACGGGAAGCAGCAGUGGGGAAUAUUGGACAAUGGGCGAAAGCCUGAUCCAGCAAUGCCGCGUGAGUGAUGAAGGCCUUAGGGUUGUAAAGCUCUUUUACCCGGGAUGAUAAUGACAGUACCGGGAGAAUAAGCUCCGGCUAACUCCGUG
rnacentral:rRNA from 1 species